rnacentral:tRNA from 1 species
GCCGCCUUAGCUCAGUUGGUAGAGCACCACCAUGGUAAGGUGGGGGUCGCCGGUUCGAGCCCGGCAGGUGGCU